rnacentral:rRNA from 1 species
CUUUACUAUAGCCUGGAAUUGUGUUCGGGCUUCGCUUACGCAGGAUAGGUGGGAGGCUAUGAAGUUCUGCUUGUGGGCAGAAUCGAGCCAACGGUGAGAUACCACUUUAGCGAGGCUAGAAUUCUAACCCUUGCCCAUGAUCUGGGAAGGAGACAGUUUCAGGUGGGCAGUUUGACUGGGGCGGUCGCCUCCUAAACGAUAACGGAGGCGCGCAAAGGUGCUCUCAGGCUGGUUGGAAAUCAGCCGUAGAGUGUAAAGGCAGAAGGGAGCUUGACUGCAAGACCUACAAGUCGAGCAGGGGCGAAAGCCGGCCUUAGUGAUCCGACGGUUCCAUGUGGAAGGGCCGUCGCUCAACGGAUAAAAGUUA